GACGAACGCUGGCGGCGUGCUUAACACAUGCAAGUCGAACGGAAAGGCCCUGCUUUUGUGGGGUGCUCGAGUGGCGAACGGGUGAGUAACACGCGAGUAACCUGCCCUUGACUUUGGGAUAACUUCAGGAAACUGGGGCUAAUACCGGAUAGGAGCUCCUGCUGCAUGGGGGGGGUUGGAAAGUUUCGGCGGUUGGGGAUGGACUAGCGGCUUAUCAGCUUGUUGGUGGGGUAGUGGAGUACAAAGGCUUUGACGGGUAGCCGGCCUGAGAGGGUGGCCGGCCACAUUGGUACUGCGAUACGGCCCAGUCUCCUACGGGCGGCAGCAGUGGGGAAUAUUGCACAAUGGGCCGAAGCCUGAUGCAGCAACGCCGCGUUCGUGAUGACGGCCUUCUGGUUGUAAACCGCUUUCUCCUGUGACGAAGCGUGAGUGACGGUAAUGGGUAAAGAAGCACCGGCUAACUACGUG
rnacentral:rRNA from 1 species